AGCAUCCAACCAGCACCCCACAUGCUACAUAAAAGGACCCCACGCCCUCUCUUUUCCUCCCUUUCUCUCUUCCCCUUGGACGUCCACACGUCCUUGAGUUUUAAGCAUCCCUCUUUCUUCUCCACAUCCAAGCUGUUGGGUAUUCACUUGCUGCUAGUUUGUGGCCUUUGGUAGCAGCACAAGCAAGGGAAGAAAGGUUAGAGAAGAGAAGAAGAAGA
rnacentral:lncRNA from 1 species